UUUUGUGCAUCGAUGCGGGAGAACGGCGCGUAUCGGUAACCAUGGCAACGCCCUCGUCUUCCUGCUGCCAAUGGAGGAACCCUAUGUCAACUUCUUGUCCAUCAACCAGAAGUGCCCGCUGCAGAAGAUGUCUCCUAUAAAGGACGUGGUGGACGUGACGCCCAAGGUGAAGGCCAUGGCCCUGGCCGACCGCGCCAUGUUCGACAAAGGCAUGAGGGCCUUUGUGUCGUACGUCCAGGCUUACGCCAAACACGAAUGCAGCCUCAUCUUCAGAGUAAAAGAUCUGGAUUUU